AAAGGAAUUGACGGGGGCCCGCACAAGCGGAGGAGCAUGUGGCUUAAUUCGAUGCAACGCGAAGAACCUUACCUGGGUUUGACAUGUAACUGCACAUCCCAUGAAAGUGGGAUUCCUUCGAGGGUGUUACACAGGUGCUGCAUGGCUGUCGUCAGUUCGUGCCGUGAGGUGUUUGGUUAAGUCCAGCAACGAACGCAACCCCUGUGCUUAGUUGCAAACGAGUAAUGUCGUGCACUCUAAGCAGACUGCCUGUUUACACAGGAGGAAGGUGGGGACGACGUCAAGUCAGUAUGGCCCUUACAUCCAGGGCUGCACACGUGCUACAAUGGCCGGUACAAAGGGACGCAAGACCGCGAGGUGGAGCAAAUCCCCAGAGCCGGCCCCAGUUCAGAUUGCAGUCUGCAACUCGACUGCAUGAAGUUGGAUUCGCUAGUAACGGCGCAUCAGCUACGGCGCCGUGAAUACGUUCCCGGGCCUUGUACACACCGCCCGU
rnacentral:rRNA from 1 species